GCCUGGGAGGCUUACUCAGUUAAGUAUCUGACUUUGAUUCAGGUCAUGAUCUCACAGUUCAUGGGUUCAAGCCCCAUGUUGGGCU
rnacentral:tRNA from 1 species